CCAAGAUCAACGUCCGUGGCCAUAUUUGGGCGAACUCUUUUCUUUUGUCGGAGUGAAAGUUUCUUCCUACCGGAUGAAGUGCCUCUCAUGCCGACCGAAAGCUACGGAGAUAUGGCCUUCAACAACUCACCAACCUCAGGAAACACAUUGAGAGAUACAAGUACAUAUUCACAAAUCAACUCUGGAUGCACGGACAGUGCAUGAAACUAAAUGAAUGGACUACAUCAAGCAGCA